CUCUCUCUCUCACACACACACACACCUGCUGUUCGUUAUCUCGAUCCAAUUCCUCCAUUCAGUUUUCUAGGUUCAUCAUUUGGUUGAUCAGGAAAGUUUGAGAGGAUAUGAUUGGCAGAUUAGGGCUUUUCUCAGCUAAUGAGACGAGAGAGGAUGUUAGUACAGCCAACCUCGAUUAAGUGAGGGCGUGUACUUGGAAAUUAUGUUAUUGAAUGGAUCCAUAUGUUGGACUUCUUUUCGAUUUGUGAGGUGAUGGAGCUUGUGCCUGAAGAGGAAGUAGAAUCAUCCGCCUAAGCUUGUCCAAAUUCUUUUGCUGAUUGAAGGGCUAACAAGAUUGCUAGGUUCAAACGACAUAAAGCUUGAAAUAAAGGAGCGGAAGGAGCAACGGCGUUCAACUAAAGCAAGUGCCUUGUCUACUACUACAGAGGUUGAAGAGGAAGAUGUGUUGGGUGAUGAUGGAGAGGAAGAAAGGGAGUUUCUAGCCGUCAGUUCUGCUUCUCAUAAAUAUCUUGCUGUCAACAAUAUCGAUCUUCCUUUUUAUUCUUGGCGGGAAGGGGACAAGGAGAUUUGACAUGCUCUCCUUGACGAGCAUACAAAGAGAGCAGAAAAGACUAGCGUGGUGAUGCUGCAGCUUGAGCUCCGCAUCUUAGAGGGGCUCAACCAAUUGCGCAUGCUACUUUUGCUUGAGGUGUUUUAGAAGGCAGAGCGAAAGUGUCACAGGCACAUGAAUACAAACAUCAGCUUCUAAUGUCGGGGCCAGCAAGUUUUUGGGUGGAAACCUAAUUAGUGAAAUGGAAACGAUGGCAGUGCAAUUUCUGUCAACCUGGUUAUAUGGUGCUUUUUCAACCUUAAUAAACAAAAAAAUUGAGCAGCAAAACACGUAUGAGUUUCGAAAGUAGCUUUGAAGAUUGUGAUAGUAUUUAUUUAUCUGCGUGCUGUUGAAAAAUAAAAAAAAAACACUAUUUAUUUAUCUGCGUAAAACUGGGAUUGUUAGAGUGCCAACUAUGAGCAUAUAGGAAGCUGGCUUGAAGGAGAUGCAGAUUACGAAUAAAGUUCAGUAGAGAAAUGCCAAGCUCUUGAAUGAAGCCAAUUCGUCAUGGUACAGAGCCAAUUGGAAGAUGAGGGCAAGUGAAUAUGAUGAUGAUGCCCAAAAGAAGGCAAGGGCAUGGAUGACUUCAAAAGAUGACAAUCCUCGAGGUCCAGCAAUAAGAAGCUCACUCGCUGUGGGUAGAUCGCAGCAGCAGACUGCUCCACGUCUGCCAUGUAUAUUCUUUAGAAAUCUAGCAAGGUACUUCUCUAAUGCCCACCUAUAAGUUCUCUAGCUGAUUGACAUUUGCUAUACAGUUUAUUUUUAUGUUAUUGUGUUUUCCUGAUGAGAAGUUAUUUCCGUGUAUAGUUCUGGUAGGAUGAGAGAGAUGAGCAUUUAUAGUUCAACUAUUCGUUGAUAAGUAUGCUGUUUCUGUCAUAUAUUCUUUCUAAAUCUAGUUUAUGAUGAAUGGUUUUCUGAAUCUACGGUUGAUUGUUGUCUAUCAAGUGAAUCUGAGAGGAAUUAUUGAUAGUUAUCGCUUUUUAUGGCUUAUCAAUAUAUACGUGUGUGCAUCAUCAGUUUAUGUUAAUUUUGCUUUAUCCUUUUCUCCAUCGGCCCUGAUCUUAUGUCACCCACUACAAUGAACUGUAUUCAAGCUAUUAAAUAUGGCAUGCAACUAGGUGGUUUAUAUUUCAAUAGUUCUAACUCCACA